CUGCAUGUCUGCGAGUGAGUGUGUGUCUCCCUCCGUUCCUCCGCAGAUAAAGUGCCAGUGCCUCUGUCAAGAUGAUUGACUGAUCAGGAAGUGUUGGAACUGAUGCCGGCUGUCUACAGAGCACUCUCCUGCACGUUAUAAAUAAAGAGCGUCCUCCUAAGUGGA